rnacentral:pre_miRNA from 1 species
AGUGGAAUAGCUGGGUCAAAUGGUGGUUCCAUUCCAAGUUUUAUGAGGAAUCUUCAUACUGCUUUGUGGAGUGGUUGCAGCACCAAUUUGCAGCCCCACCAGCAAU